rnacentral:rRNA from 1 species
UACGUAGGGGGCAAGCGUUGUCCGGAUUUAUUGGGCGUAAAGCGCUCGCAGGUGGUUCGUCGCGUCGUGCGUGAAAGACCCCGGCUCAACUGGGGAGCGUCGUGCGAUACGGGCGGACUGGAGGCCAGUAGGGGGAUGCGGAAUUCCGGGUGUAGUGGUGGAAUGCGUAGAGAUCGGAAAGAACACCAACGGCGAAAGCACUCUGCUGGGCCGACACUGACACUGAGAGACGAAAGCUAGGGGAGCGAAUGGG